CAGUGGAGAUAUCAAGGUCACAGCAGGGCUGAGCCCUGUUGCUGGAGCAAUGUUGGGCCCCAAGGUAGCUGUACUUUGCCCUUCAAAAGACCUUGGGGUAUCUAUCUCUGAUGCUAAUGCAGUGACUGUAGGCAAUUUUGUGAAAACAGAGGGGGCUGAGCUAGUCCCUAUUCUCCAGUGAUUUCUUGAGGUUGACAGAAUGGACAGUGCUUGAAGAUAAGGAGACAUUCCUGGAGUAACUGGUUGUUUCAGUUAAGCUGAACAGAGAAGGAAGUGGAAGUUCUAUCAGGCUGGAGAAUUACUCCUGUGCUUUGGGACUGUAUGUGUUCUCUGUGUUUCUGCAUCAGGAAGAGUUGGAAGUUUCCAAUGCCUAUGGUGGCUCCAGAUGUCUCAGAUGAACUGACGAAGUUUCUGUGGGAGAGGAUAUGGUUCUUUCUGUGUUUCUCAUGCUUGAAUAUAUGAUUCCAGAGGACAAGUGGGAUGGUGAAGCGUAUCAAAGCCAUAUCCAUAUAAGCAUCUGUUGAAGGAACUGAGGAAACUUUAACUCAGAGAAGUGAUGGCUCAAAGAGGGCAUAAUGACUGUCUUCAAGUAUUUGGAUGAUUCUUGUUCGGAUGGUGUAUUUCACUUUCUUGGGUUAUCUCCUGAGGCCAGAACAAAAGCAAUGGAUUCAAAAUGCAGAGGAAAGGUCCACCUUUCAAUACUAUAGUUCAAAUUUGGACAAUUCCAUACUUGCCUAAAGAUCAUCAGUCUUCAUCAACAAGAAGGAGAGCAUCAAAGACCACUAGAACACCCUCGUGUGCAUUAAUUGACUUAACAGAGAGAGUUUUGAAGUCAGGGUCCCAAAGUAGUCCAAAAUAAAGAGAUCCAAAGAAGAAAAGGCCAGGUGAGAGAAUUCACCAAUGAGGUAACAAUGGUGCAAUAAAAGGAUCUCUGGUAA